rnacentral:rRNA from 1 species
GACGAACGCUGGCGGCGUGCUUAACACAUGCAAGUCGAACGGUGAAGCGCCUUCCUUUUUGGUGGGUGUGGAUGAGUGGCGAACGGGUGAGUAACACGUGAGUAACCUGCCCCCUUCUUCUGGAUAACCGCAUGAAAGUGUGGCUAAUACGGGAUAUUCUGGGUCUGUCGCAUGAUGGGUCUGGGAAAGAUAUUGUUUCGGUGGGGGAUGGGCUCGCGGCCUAUCAGCUUGUUGGUGGGGUGAUGGCCUACCAAGGCGGUGACGGGUAGCCGGCCUGAGAGGGUGGACGGUCACACUGGGACUGAGACACGGCCCAGACUCCUACGGGAGGCAGCAGUGGGGAAUAUUGCACAAUGGGCGCAAGCCUGAUGCAGCGACGCCGCGUGAGGGAUGGAGGCCUUCGGGUUGUGAACCUCUUACGCCAGUGAAGCAGGCCUGCCUCGUUUGUGGGUGGGUUGACGGUAGCUGGAUAAGAAGCGCCGGCUAACUACGUG